rnacentral:rRNA from 2 species
UACAAUGGAGAGUUUGAUCCUGGCUCAGGAUGAACGCUAGCGGGAGGCUUAACACAUGCAAGCCGAGGGGUAUUUGUAGCUUGCUACAGAGAGACCGGCGCACGGGUGCGUAACGCGUAUGCAACUUGCCCUACUGAAAGGGAUAGCCUUUUGAAAAGAAGAUUAAUACCUUAUAAUAAAUCACACUGCAUGGUGAGAUUUUGAAAGAUUUAUCGCAGUAGGAUAGGCAUGCGUAAGAUUAGAUAGUUGGUGAGGUAACGGCUCACCAAGUCAACGAUCUUUAGGGGGCCUGAGAGGGUGAACCCCCACACUGGUACUGAGACACGGACCAGACUCCUACGGGAGGCAGCAGUGAGGAAUAUUGGACAAUGGGUGGAAGCCUGAUCCAGCCAUCCCGCGUGAAGGAUGACGGCCUUAUGGGUUGUAAACUUCUUUUAUAUGGGGAUAAACCUACUCACGUGUGAGUAGCUGAAGGUACCAUAUGAAUAAGCACCGGCUAACUCCGUGCCAGCAGCCGCGGUAAUACGGAGGGUGCAAGCGUUAUCCGGAUUUAUUGGGUUUAAAGGGUCCGUAGGCGGAUUAAUAAGUCAGUGGUGAAAGCCCAUCGCUUAACGAUGGAACUGCCAUUGAUACUGUUAGUCUUGAGUGAGGUUGCAGUGGCUGGAAUGUGUAGUGUAGCGGUGAAAUGCUUAGAUAUUACGCAGAACACCAAUUGCGAAGGCAGGUCACUAAGCCUCAACUGACGCUGAUGGACGAAAGCGUGGGGAGCGAACAGGAUUAGAUACCCUGGUAGUCCACGCCGUAAACGAUGGAUACUUGCUGUUGGGGAGCGAUUCUCAGUGGCUAAGCGAAAGUUAUAAGUAUCCCACCUGGGGAGUACGUUCGCAAGAAUGAAACUCAAAGGAAUUGACGGGGGCCCGCACAAGCGGUGGAGCAUGUGGUUUAAUUCGAUG